ensembl:lncRNA
CGACACUGGAAUUAUUCGCAGUUUUCCAACAACUCACACCUCCUUAUGAGCUGCGCCACGUCAAGCCAGCCUUGCGCCAGGGGUUGGUUGGGGGCAGGGGCAAACAACAGCGGCAAAGAGGCUUUGCAGGCUCCGGGGAAAGGUGCCUGGGGCCAGUCCUGGGAGGCCUUCCCUGAACCUCCGCUGGAAACGGUCCACAGAUGUUUUCCCCAGAAGAUGUUGGAUUGCAGAAUAAAGAUAUGGACCUCAGAAAACAUCCUCUGAAGGGUUUGUCCUCAGUGGGUGAAGACUGGUAGCAUGAAGUUCAACAUCAACAACCAGAUCCUAGGCUUCCAGGUCACGGAAGGCAGUUUUGGGUCCAGCCCCUGUAGUCCUCAUCUGUCUCAUUUCUGUGAGAUUGGCAACUGACUCACUGAUUACCACUCUCCGGAUUAUCAGCCUGUGGUGCAAUCAGAAGAGAUUCUCAUCUCUGUGGGAUGGCUAAGUGUGCUUGGGU